UACGUAGGAUGCAAGCGUUAUCCGGAAUUAUUGGGCGUAAAGAGCUCGUAGGCGGUUUGUCGCGUCUGCUGUGAAAACUGGAGGCUCAACCUCCAGCCUGCAGUGGGUACGGGCAGACUAGAGUGCGGUAGGGGAGAUUGGAAUUCCUGGUGUAGCGGUGGAAUGCGCAGAUAUCAGGAGGAACACCGAUGGCGAAGGCAGAUCUCUGGGCCGUAACUGACGCUGAGGAGCGAAAGCAUGGGGAGCGAACAGG
rnacentral:rRNA from 1 species